UACGUAGGGUGCAAGCGUUGUCCGGAAUUAUUGGGCGUAAAGAGCUCGUAGGCGGUUUGUCGCGUCUGCUGUGAAACCCGAGGCUCAACCUCGGGCCUGCAGUGGGUACGGGCAGACUAGAGUGCGGUAGGGGAGAUUGGAAUUCCUGGUGUAGCGGUGGAAUGCGCAGAUAUCAGGAGGAACACCGGUGGCGAAGGCGGGUCUCUGGGCAGUAACUGACGCUGAGGAGCGAAAGCGUGGGGAGCGAACAGG
rnacentral:rRNA from 1 species